GAAGAAGUCAAGUUGUAAUACGAAUUGAUAAACUUAUUAAACGGGAGUUCCAGUGAUUUAUCACUGGAUGUAAGAUAUAACUCAAUAAUAGUAAAGCAGUUACUUAUGAAUAGAAGGCAAUUAUGUAUUCCAUGCCUGUAAUGACGUUCCUAUAGAAAAUUUUAACAAGUUAUUUAAAUGCACUGUAAAUAUAUGAUCACCGUAUCAAUUUAAUUUAAAUUAUACAACAAGAUCUAACAUUUCAUCUUAAACCACUUUGUUUACAUUGGUAUCUUAUAAAAUAUUAAAAUGAUCAUCCUUUCAAAAUUGAAAGAGUUUGAAAUUAAAACGAGAUAAACUUUGAAAAUUGAUAUAAAGAAAAUAGAAUACUCAUAACUUAUCGGGACGACUUAAAAGUUAAUAUAAUAGAAGUAGAAGAAAAAACACGCACAACGUAUUUCAUAGGAAACUGUUCUUGGAACUAUAAACGUCUAUAGACCUGCAAUGUAACAAUAGUUGUGUUGGGGGUAAAAAAAAGUUAGAGUGAAUGCUGUAGUUCUGAUUGUGUCAGAGUACAUACACUUUUUACAACAUUUAUAUUCAUUAUAAGUGGUCACGGAUUAUCUGAUUAGAUUGUGUUAGAGGACACACACAUUUUACAACAUUCAUAUUCAUAAUGAGUGCCAUGGAUUAUCAGUUUGGAAUUGACCAAAUGGUGACACAAACAACGUUCGUACGAGAUGACAAACUUAAACAGUACCAUAAAGAGUUUGAGAGUACUAUGACAACUAAUCAGUUAUUUGGGACUAAAGUUCAGACAGAUGAAAGUUACACACAUUUUCAGGUACAUUUUGACAGAGGACAGCUACCACCAGGAUCUCUGAUCUUUCAAACAGUUUUAGCGGAAUUUUUACACCGGAAAUCUUUGGGAAAUGAUGAAAACAAAACACAAUCGACUAUGGACAUUUGAAAGUUUAAAUAUGAGAUGUUUUUUUCGUAAAUAAUAUAUAUACUUGUAUGUGUAGGAUAUUGUCAUAUCUUUUUUAUGUCUUGUAUUUUAUGUGACAUGAAUUGUUCGUAAAUUUUGUAGAUUAACAUCAUGACAUGUAUAUGCCUUCUUAGAAGUAUUCAUCAAGUUUCUUUAGUCUUGAUUCCAAACUUUUUAUAUAUGACUUAUUUUUUUAUUUAGAUUGGUGAAGAAUAAUUAUUUAUUGUUAUACAGUUAGUCAUGCAGACGUACGGUCCUACAUCCUAUCGACAUGUUUUUAUUUUUAUGAAUCUUUGCACAAGGUCAUGCUUAUCUCAGAUUGGUUCUGAAGUCUUUACACUAAAUACAUUGGUUAUACUGAUUGCUACUAUAGUCUUGAAGCAAAUGAUGUAUUUAUAAGAACCUAGUUUUCAUUAGCUUUGAGUGCUUUGUGAAGUCAGUUGUUUUUGUGCUGCAUGCUCAUUGUUUAGAACGAUGACCUAUAGUUGGUAACAUGUACACCAUUUUUUUUAACCCCGGUGAUUUUAUCUCAUUGGCAAUCAUACCAUAUUUUCUCAUUUUUGAACAUGCUCUUGACUUCCUUUAAGUCUUUCUGCAUUUGUACUUAAGCUUUUCAGAUACUACAAUAAAACCCGAGUUCCAUGAUUCCAUUAACACAAGUAGUCUCUAAGCAGCAGUUGAUAUUGCAAUGAGCAAUUUCCAAAUGUUGUAUACUAUGAUUUUCUAUCUGUAAUUCCUAUUUUUGUUGGAAAAAAAUGAAAUGAAAAACAAUCAUGCUCUUACGUAAUAGCACAUGUUUCAGGCGUGGAUCCAGUCAUUUGUAAAAAGGGUUGUCCCCAUACAAAAGCAUUAGUUGUUUUUUUUUUUUAACAAAAAGGGUGUUAUUGAUCUGAGACAAUAAAGUGAAAACAUGUAUUCUUUGUAUAAUUUAAAAAUAUUCAGUUAUGACUUCUCUACCCUUUAUAUUACACUACAUCGAAACCUUAAUAAAGUUUUCCUAUUCCAUUGAAUGACCAUGGUGUAACUUUAUCUGGUUGCUAUAAUUAUAAUUUCUUUUUCAGUAAUUUAACUACUAUGAUUAAAAAAAUACACAAUUUGAGAAAAUUGGUGUUUGUUUUGUUGAUAAAGUAUAAAUCAAAGUGUCUGUAGCACGGAAGGGUAAAGAUUAUUUUAAUGUAUCAGUGUGAA
rnacentral:lncRNA from 1 species